GGUGGUGGUAUGUGAUAAUAAUUUUCAAUAUGCUGAAUUAGUCCACUCAUGUGGGCCUUACAAGGGCAAGGAUCUUUUCUUCAUAUCCCAGGGUUAAUGACACAUUCAGC